CUCUGUGUAGCAUAGAGAGAGCCUCCAUUCUGUGUCUUCGUGUGGUCUUCCUUCUGUGCUUGUCUGUAACCAAUCUCCUCUUCCUAUAAUGACAUCAGUCAGGGGAAAGAAGGAGCAUAAGGACAGAAGGCAAUGACAAUCAUGACAGAGCAAGCUGUAGAAUUAUAAUCACGGCUGGGGAAUGUGGUCAUGAUGGCUGAGGAUAGAGGUGGAACAGGUGCCAUGCUGCUAUCACAAGACGGAGACCACAUACUCUAAGAAUGCUGAACAGAAAAAUAAAAGGAGUCUGAGUCCCUGAUGACAUAAUAGAGCUACCAUAACCACCAUGGAUAUUGUCUAGGUGCUU
rnacentral:lncRNA from 1 species